rnacentral:lncRNA from 1 species
UCGUUCGGCAUGUGUGUGCUCGAGAUGCUCACUUCUGAGUACCCCUACAGCGAAUGCUUCAAUCCAGCUCAAAUCUACAAGAAAGUCACUUCGGUAAGAAACUGCAGGGUGUCUAAUCUCAUGACCUUCGAUUUCUCCAUUCAAUUCCGGCACUGAAACCUUGAGCUGCGGGAAUGCUUGUUCGUCCAGGGAAAGCUGCCGGACGCAUUCCACCGCAUCAAAGAUCCCGAGGCCAAGCGAUUCAUCGGAAGAUGCCUCGAAAACGUCGCGAAGAGAUCAUCGGCCAAGGAGCUCCUUCUCGAUCCCUUUCUCGCGUUAGAUGAUCAUCAUGUCCCAAUGUUGCCCUUGAAGAACAUUCCUGUCCAUGUAGUUAAGGACAUGAGAUCACGAGGCCAUGACCACCUGCACUUGCUCGAGGCCGGCGACGUUACCUGCACCGCGAGGAGAACUGACAUGACUAUCACGGGGAAGAUGAAUCCGGAGGGCGACACCAUCUUCCUUAAAGUUCAGAUUGCUGACAGAGAAGGUACAGAGCUCAGCUGUGAUAGAAAUCAUAUCAGGAGC